rnacentral:rRNA from 1 species
UACGGAGGGUGCAAGCGUUGUCCGGAUUUAUUGGGUUUAAAGGGUGCGUAGGCGGUUCUUUAAGUCAGUGGUGAAAGCCUCCAGCUUAACUGGAGAAAUGCCAUUGAUACUGAAGAACUUGAGUACAGACGAGGUAGGCGGAAUUGACGGUGUAGCGGUGAAAUGCAUAGAUAUUGUCAAGAACACCGAUUGCGAAGGCAGCUUACUAGACUGUAACUGACGCUGAGGCACGAAAGCCAGGGGAGCAAACGGG